UAACACAUGCAAGUCGAACGGGGAAUCAAGGAGCUUGCUCCGAGAUUCUUAGUGGCAAACGGGUGAGUAACGCGUAGGCAAUCUGCCCUUGGGAUGGGGACAACAGAGCGAAAGUUCUGCUAAUACCGAAUGAAGCAACCUUUUCGCAUGGGAAGGUUAUGAAAGGCAGCUGAGACAAGCGAAGCUGUCACCUGAGGAUGAGCCUGCGUCUGAUUAGCCAGUUGGUGAGGUAACGGCUCACCAAAGCGACGAUCAGUAGCCGGUCUGAGAGGAUGAACGGCCACAUUGGGACUGAGACACGGCCCAAACUCC
rnacentral:rRNA from 1 species